rnacentral:rRNA from 1 species
GGGGGGCUAACACAUGCAGUCGAGCGGUAGCACAAGAGAGCUUGCUCUCUGGGUGACGAGCGGCGGACGGGUGAGUAAUGUCUGGGAAACUGCCUGAUGGAGGGGGAUAACUACUGGAAACGGUAGCUAAUACCGCAUAACGUCUUCGGACCAAAGUGGGGGACCUUCGGGCCUCACGCCAUCAGAUGUGCCCAGAUGGGAUUAGCUAGUAGGUGGGGUAAUGGCUCACCUAGGCGACGAUCCCUAGCUGGUCUGAGAGGAUGACCAGCCACACUGGAACUGAGACACGGUCCAGACUCCUACGGGAGGCAGCAGUGGGGAAUAUUGCACAAUGGGCGCAAGCCUGAUGCAGCCAUGCCGCGUGUGUGAAGAAGGCCUUCGGGUUGUAAAGCACUUUCAGCGAGGAGGAAGGGUAGUGUGUUAAUAGCACAUUGCAUUGACGUUACUCGCAGAAGAAGCACCGGCUAACUCCGUGCCAGCAGCCGCGGUAAUACGGAGGGUGCAAGCGUUAAUCGGAAUUACUGGGCGUAAAGCGCACGCAGGCGGUUUGUUAAGUCAGAUGUGAAAUCCCCGCGCUUAACGUGGGAACUGCAUUUGAAACUGGCAAGCUAGAGUCUUGUAGAGGGGGGUAGAAUUCCAGGUGUAGCGGUGAAAUGCGUAGAGAUCUGGAGGAAUACCGGUGGCGAAGGCGGCCCCCUGGACAAAGACUGACGCUCAGGUGCGAAAGCGUGGGGAGCAAACAGGAUUAGAUACCCUGGUAGUCCACGCUGUAAACGAUGUCGACUUGGAGGUUGUGCCCUUGAGGCGUGGCUUCCGGAGCUAACGCGUUAAGUCGACCGCCUGGGGAGUACGGCCGCAAGGUUAAAACUCAAAUGAAUUGACGGGGGCCCGCACAAGCGGUGGAGCAUGUGGUUUAAUUCGAUGCAACGCGAAGAACCUUACCUACUCUUGACAUCCAGAGAAUUCGCUAGAGAUAGCUUAGUGCCUUCGGGAACUCUGAGACAGGUGCUGCAUGGCUGUCGUCAGCUCGUGUUGUGAAAUGUUGGGUUAAGUCCCGCAACGAGCGCAACCCUUAUCCUUUGUUGCCAGCACGUAAUGGUGGGAACUCAAAGGAGACUGCCGGUGAUAAACCGGAGGAAGGUGGGAUGACGUCAAGUCAUCAUGGCCCUUACAAGUAGGGCUACCACGUGCUACAUGGCGAAACAAAGAAAAACGAACUCCCGAAACCC